rnacentral:rRNA from 1 species
UACAGAGGUCCCGAGCGUUGUUCGGAUUCACUGGGCGUAAAGGGUGCGCAGGUGGGUUUGCAAGUUCGAUGUGAAAGCCCCGGGCUUAACCCGGGAAUGGCAUUGGAUACUGCAGAUCUGGAGGAUCGGAGGGGGGACUGGAAUUCUUGGUGUAGCAGUGAAAUGCGUAGAUAUCAAGAGGAACACCAGUGGCGAAGGCGAGUCCCUGGACGAUACCUGACACUGAGGCACGAAAGCUAGGGGAGCAAACAGG